AGGAGCCGCUCCGGCGGGCGCUGCCGGGGCCCCGCAGCCUCGCCCGUCCCGCGGCACUCACCCGGCAGCCCGAGGCAGAGCAGCAGGCUGUAGUAGACGACAGUGCCGCGGGGCGAAGGACGGGGCGGCCAGCGGGGACAGAGCCCAGCUCCAGCGGGGACACAGCCCAGCUCCAGCGGGGACACAGCCCAGCUCCAGCGGGGACAGAGCCCUGCUCCAGCGGGGACACUGCCGUGUUCCAGCAAUGACACUGCCGAGCUCCAGCAAUAACACACAGCGUGCUCCAGCAGGGACGCCCCCGUGGACGGCUCCCGCAGGACAAUGCUGAAAGGAAAUCAGCAUUUCUAAAACCGUCUUCACCCAUUCCUUAAGGCUUGUGUACGUCAGUACAUAGUCCCAGGUAUAACUAAUAAAGGAUUAGAGUUAGGCUUGUUA